GACGAACGCUGGCGGCGUGCUUAACACAUGCAAGUCGAACGGAAAGGCCCUGCUUUUGUGGGGUGCUCGAGUGGCGAACGGGUGAGUAACACGUGAGUAACCUGCCCUUGACUUUGGGAUAACUUCAGGAAACUGGGGCUAUUACCGGAUAGGAGCUCCUGCUGCAUGGGGGGGGUUGGAAAGUUUCGGCGGUUGGGGAUGGACUCGCGGGUUAUCAGCUUGUUGGUGGGGUAGUGGCUUACCAAGGGUUUGACGGCUAGCCGGCCUGGGAGGGGGACCGGCGACAUUGGGACUGAGAUACGGACCAGACUCCUACGGGAGGCAGCGGUGGGGAAUAUUGCGCAAUGGGCGGAAGCCUGAGGCAGCGACGCCGCGUGCGGGAUGACGUCCUUCGGGUUGUAAACCGCUUUCGCCUGUGACGAAGCGUGAGUGACGGUAAUGGGUAAAGAAGCACCGGCUAACUACGUG
rnacentral:rRNA from 1 species